rnacentral:rRNA from 1 species
UACAGAGGUCUCAAGCGUUGUUCGGAUUCAUUGGGCGUAAAGGGUGCGUAGGUGGCGCCGUAAGUCAGGUGUGAAAUUUCGGAGCUUAACUCCGAAACUGCAUUUGAUACUGCGGUGCUUGAGGACUGGAGAGGAGACUGGAAUUUACGGUGUAGCAGUGAAAUGCGUAGAGAUCGUAAGGAAGACCAGUGGCGAAGGCGGGUCUCU